UGGGGAAUAUUGGACAAUGGGCGAAAGCCUGAUCCAGCCAUGCCGCGUGUGUGAAGAAGGUCUUCGGAUUGUAAAGCACUUUAAGUUGGGAGGAAGGGCAGUAAGUUAAUACCUUGCUGUUUUGACGUUACCGACAGAAUAAGCACCGGCUAACUCUGUGCCAGCAGCCGCGGUAAUACAGAGGGUGCAAGCGUUUAUCGGAAUUACUGGGCGUAAAGCGCGCGUAGGUGGUUUGUUAAGUUGGAUGUGAAAGCCCCGGGCUCAACCUGGGAACUGCAUCCAAAACUGGCAAGCUAGAGUACGGUAGAGGGUGGUGGAAUUUCCUGUGUAGCGGUGAAAUGCGUAGAUAUAGGAAGGAACACCAGUGGCGAAGGCGACCACCUGGACUGAUACUGACACUGAGGUGCGAAAGCGUGGGGAGCAAACA
rnacentral:rRNA from 1 species